AAUGAACGUUGGCGGCGUGGAUUAGGCAUGCAAGUCGAGCGCUCAUAGCAAUAUGGGAGCGGCGAACGGCGUAGGAAUUCAUAGGAACGUACCCUCAGGUCGGGGAUAGCUACGGGAAACUGUAGGUAAUACCCGAUGAUCUCUGCGGAGCAAAGGUGUGAUUCCGCCUGAGGAGCGGCUUAUGUGAUAUUAGCUAGUUGGUGGGGUAAUGGCUUACCAAGGCGAAGAUGUCUAGGGGGUGUGAGAGCAUGGCCCCCACGACCGGAACUGAGAUACUGUCCGGACACCUACGGGUGGCUGCAGUCGAGAAUCUUCCGCAAUGGACGAAAGUCUGACGGAGCGACGCCGCGUGCGGGAUGAAGGCCCUUGGGUUGUAAACCGCUUUCGG
rnacentral:rRNA from 1 species